rnacentral:rRNA from 1 species
CCUACGGGAGGCAACAGUGAGGAAUAUUGGUCAAUGGGCGGGAGCCUGAACCAGCCAAGCCGCGUGAGGGAAGAAGGUACAGCGUAUCGUAAACCUCUUUUGUCAGGGAACAAAGGCGGGGACUAGUCCCCGGAUGAGGGUACCUGAAGAAAAAGCAUCGGCUAACUCCGUGCCAGCAGCCGCGGUAAUACGGAGGAUGCGAGCGUUAUCCGGAUUUAUUGGGUUUAAAGGGUGCGCGGGCGGCCUGUUAAGUCAGCGGGAAAAGCCCGGGGCUCAACCCCGGCGAGCCGUUGAGACUGGCGGGCUGGAGUUGGAGAGAGGUACGCGGAAUGCGCGGUGUAGCGGUGAAAUGCUUAGAUAUCGCGCAGAACCCCGAUUGCGAAGGCAGCGUACCGGCUCCACACUGACGCUGAGGCACGAAAGCGUGGGUAUCGAACAGGAUUAGAUACCCCAGUAGUC